AUUGAACGCUGGCGGCAUGCCUUACACAUGCAAGUCGAACGGUAACGCGGGGCAACCUGGCGACGAGUGGCGAACGGGUGAGUAAUGUAUCGGAACGUGCCCAGUUGUGGGGGAUAACUGCUCGAAAGAGCAGCUAAUACCGCAUACGACCUGAGGGUGAACGCGGGGGAUCGCAAGACCCCGCGCAAUUGGAGCGGCCGAUAUCAGAUGAGGUAGUUGGUGGGGUAAAGGCCCACCAAGCCAACGAUCUGUAGCUGGUCUGAGAGGACGACCAGCCACACUGGGACUGAGACACGGCCCAGACUCCUACGGGAGGCAGCAGUGGGGAAUUUUGGACAAUGGACGCAAGUCUGAUCCAGCCAUGCCGCGUGCGGGAAGAAGGCCUUCGGGUUGUAAACCGCUUUUGUCAGGGAAGAAAAGGGCGACUCUAAUACAGUUGCCUCAUGACGGUACCUGAAGAAUAAGCACCGGCUAACUACGUGCCAGCCGCCGCGGUAAAAC
rnacentral:rRNA from 1 species